GACGUAGGGCGCGAGCGUUGUCCGGAUUUAUUGGGCGUAAAGAGCUCGUAGGCGGUUUGUCGCGUCUGCCGUGAAAGUCCGGGCUCAACUCCGGAUCUGCGGUGGGUACGGGCAGACUAGAGUGAUGUAGGGGAGACUGGAAUUCCUGGUGUAGCGGUGAAAUGCGCAGAUAUCAGGAGGAACACCGAUGGCGAAGGCAGGUCUCUGGGCAUUAACUGACGCUGAGGAGCGAAAGCAUGGGGAGCGAACAGG
rnacentral:rRNA from 1 species